rnacentral:lncRNA from 1 species
UAGUGAAAAAGAUAAUGGUGUCCAUCGUAGUUCACAUAAAAUGGAGCCAAUUGAUUGGACAGAAAGUGACUUUGUUGACGGAGAUUAUGUAAAACUGGGGGAAACUUCCAAAGGAUACAAUUAUUUGGACCCAAAUUUUUUACCUGCGGCCACGUGACCUGUGAUGUGUUAAUUAUUCACUCUACCAUCAUUGACAAGGUUAGUUGGACGUGUUAAUGUACGUA